rnacentral:rRNA from 1 species
UCUUCUGCGUAUUCGCUCCAGGAUGGGACUGCGUCCGAUCAGGCUGUUGGCGGGGUAAUGGCCCACCAAACCUGUAACCGGUACGGGCCUUGAGAGAGGUGGCCCGGAGAUGGACACUGAGAGAAGGGUCCAGGUCCUACGGGGCGCAGCAGGCGCGAAACCUUCGCAAUGCGCGAAAGCGUGACGAGGUUAAUCCGAGUGGCCCCCGCUGAGGGGGUCUUUUGUCAGCUGUAAAUAGGCGGGCGAAUAAGGGGAGGGCAAGCCUGGUGUCAGCCGCCGCGGUAAUACCAGCUCCUCGAGUGGUCGGGGCGAUUAUUGGGCCUAAAGCAUCCGUAGCCGGUUCCGUAGGUCCUCUGUUAAAUCCACCCGCUUAACGGGUGACCUGCAGAGGAUACCGCGGGACUAGGAGGCGGGAGAGGCGGACGGUACUCCGCGUGUAGGGGUAAAAUCCUUUGAUCCGCGGAAGA